UACGGAGGGGGCAAGCGUUAUUCGGAAUUCUUGGGCGUCAAGGGCGCGUAGGCGGCUAGAUGUGUCAAAGGUGAAAUCCCUCGGCUCAACUGAGGAACUGCCUUUGAAACUGUCUGGCUUGAGGCCGGGAGAGGGUAGCGGAAUUCCCAGUGUAGCGGUGAAAUGCGUAGAUAUUGGGAGGAACACCAGUGGCGAAGGCGGCUACCUGGACCGGUUCUGACGCUGAGGCGCGAAAGCGUGGGUAGCAAACAGG
rnacentral:rRNA from 1 species